rnacentral:rRNA from 1 species
AUUGAACGCUGGCGGAAUGCUUUACACAUGCAAGUCGAACGGUAGAGGGGGCAACCCCUUGAGAGUGGCGAACGGGUGAGUAAUGUAUCGGAACGUGCCCAGUCGUGGGGGAUAACGUAGUGAAAAUUACGCUAAUACCGCAUACGAUCUAUGGAUGAAAGCGGGGGAUCGCAAGACCUCGCGCGAUUGGAGCGGCCGAUAUCAGAUUAGGUAGUUGGUGGGGUAAAGGCUCACCAAGCCAACGAUCUGUAGCUGGUCUGAGAGGACGACCAGCCACACUGGAACUGAGACACGGUCCAGACUCCUACGGGAGGCAGCAGUGGGGAAUUUUGGACAAUGGACGCAAGUCUGAUCCAGCCAUUCCGCGUGCAGGACGAAGGCCUUCGGGUUGUAAACUGCUUUUGUACGGAACGAAAAAGCUCUUACUAAUACUAGGAGUCCAUGACGGUACCGUAAGAAUAAGCACCGGCUAACUACGUGCCAGCAGCCGCCGUAA